AGGCUCUGUACAGCAAUAAGCCUGUGAUGGCUGUGCAGAUUUUUCUAAUAGUAUCCAGUCUGAUCGUUGGACUGAUGAUUUUAGCACUGCUUGUCCUUGCCCUCUGGAAGCUUGGAUUCUUUGAGCGGAAGUUGAAGGAGGAGAAGUUUGACCAGGACAGUUGGGACUAUGUACCUAAGAAAGAGAGUGUGUCAUAAUAUGGGAUUUACACCACAAACAAAACCAAUCAGAAUGGAAGGGACAAGCCAUGAAGGACUACUGCUCUGCUGUCACCAAGAGCUGGACUAAUGACCGUAAUGGCUGAGAACAUUCAUCACAAAGCGAUGAAGAGUACAAAGACUGUCAAAAGAAUCAGCAUUUUCUGUCAGCAGGAUGAAGCCAAUGCACUUUAGAGAAUGGAACAUACUACAUGAGCUCAAUGAAUCGCUCCGGGACUGUGCCAAGGGAGAAAAGGAUUCAGAAUGUACUGUCGCUACAGAACGUUACGGCUCUGUUCCAAAACCUAGUGAGCAACCUAUGUAGGCAGCAUUACUUUGGAGGCGAUUCCUCGAGGUAGGAAGCAUGGCCAAAUUUUAAGGCAGCAUUACAAUUUAUAAGGUGCUAUUUGAGUUCGGAUUCUGCCUUAACAGCUGCCUAUUUAGGCUGUAGACAGCAAGGCAGCUCACUAGGUUUUGGAACGGAGCCUAAGUGUUUCAUCACAGGUUUGCCUAUGAUCACUGAACAUAUUGGCUGAUGGCCUGCUGUAGAGGAGAAAUUGCACUGCUGUAGCUUUUCUUACUAAGGUUAUUCCUGUGUUUAUCUGAAGAGAGGCUCGCUCUUUUACGCCCGCAAGUUAGUAUACCCUCCACAGAGGUGACCCAGGAUUUUCUGGCACUUUCCAUCACCCUUUCCGAAGCAGAACAUUGCUGCGAUAGGGGUUUUCACACCUUUGCAUCACUGCAGUAUCGGUUCUUCUUGCAAAAAAAGGAGGAAAUGACACGCAUUCUCUCUCUCCUCCCAAACUCUCGCUGCUGAGUUCAAUAGUUAGAAGUUUAACUGAGACGCCAGAUGGAAGGAGCGAGUGUUUGCUGUGUGCUCUGGCUGGGUGCCAUGGAAACGGGGCAAAGGAGGCUGCUGUUGUGUGUCUAUUACUGCGCUACAGAAGAGUGACAGGAUUGGCAUGUGUCUGGCUCCCAGCCAUUGCUUAAGAGAGUGUGUGUGUGUGUGUGUGUGUGUGUUCAUUUAUAGGACAUGAAAUCCACAAAUAUACAAAGCACCAUCACCACUCACUCAUAUGCAAGACCAUAGCGAAUCCGCACGUGCAGAAAGCUCUCAGCAAAAUUCAAUGUUCAAUGCAAUAUAUAUUUAAGGUUAUAAUUUAAAACAUUUGUAAAAGCAGCACUGAGUAAUUUUUUUUAAUAGAUAAAAAAUAGGACAAAUUUGAGAGAGAAAAAAAUCUAUACAAUUACAGAGAAAGUUUUUGUAUGUUCAAUUAAAUUGAAUUUCCCAAAGCUGAUUAUCA
rnacentral:lncRNA from 1 species